UUACAAUUAUUCACUGCCGAACAGGUUCUAUCAACUACCUCACAAGAACUACUGCUGGGAAACUCGUUUUUUCCUGACUCGAUCUAAGAUGUCUCCCCUCUAACUCGUUAAUCCAGUUCACCGUUUCAAUUGUUCAAUUGCACCUUUCUCAAUAUGGCGCAGUCGGUUUGCUGAUCUUCGCUAGAGUGCUUGAUACACGACAGAGAUCCACCAAAAUCCAACACAGUGAUCCACCAAAGUGAUUCUACACAGCGAUCCACCACAUGGUGAUUUUUUUUCCUUCGGCGAUCUCUCGCAGUGACUUACCUAUAUUUCAUUUGGAGCCGUUACACAACAACGACCCUUUACAUUGAACAUUUUGGUGGACUAUUUUGGUUGACAACUUUGGUCAAUUCCCCUUGAGACGAUGGGACCCAAACAAGACGCGAUUAAGACAACCACUUUAAACUUUUCAGUAGCAAUGAAUCGUCUUUCUCGAUCACAACGUCAUGUGAGUCGGUCUUUGAAUACACUUGACCUCGCUCAGACACACAACGUUGGACGUAAUCUCAGGGCUGGAGGCUCACGUUGGAACGGCGGAACAACAAAUUCCGGCUGUGGAUGAGGCAUUUCGUUCGUAUUGUUCAAUCACUGAAUUGGAUGUUAAUUCCUUGGACAAUGAUCCAUUGUACAAACAGAUGACUGAUGUCGUAAACGAGAUAUCUGAUGCUGGAAGAGAUGUCAAUCGACUUUCUAUGCAAACUCAACGUUUUCAACAAGCUCAAUUCGUUUCUGGUCGACGUGCAUCGGAUUCCAACGUGCAUUCAAAUCGCCCUUCCAGCAUUAAUUCUGCACUCAAGCCUGAGCGAUUAGACAUCUCUUCCACAUUGGCUGAAUUUAGAUCAUGGAGAACCAAUUUUGAUCUGUUUUACUCAUCUAACAGAAUGGAAACGUUCUCUUUUGACAAACAGCACGGAUAUGUUAGAUCGUGCUUGGAGAUGCAAUUGCAACAUAUGCUGGACACCAUCACUGGUUCAGACACACCCAUCAUGGGCAACGAUGGCGUUUUGGACCAAUUGCUAAACAAUUUUCUUCAAAAUACUCCAGUUUUAAACUUUUAACUUUUUUCGGCGUGACCAGAAACUUAGCGCGAAGUUUAGCGAUUGGUACCUGAGAAUGCAACUUGUUGGACAAGAGGCCGAAUUAGACACUCUAAAUCCAGACGAUCUGUACGUUCUUCGAUUGGUAACUGGAACCACGGACCGGAAACUCAAAGAGGAAUUCUUACGUGAGUCUGAUCCAACUCGGAGCAAAUUGGUCUCCAUCGCCAAGUCUUGGGAAACGGCAUCUCAAGUAGAGGACUCCAUGAACGUGUCGGGUGAUUCCCCAAACCAGACUCUCGUUGCCGCAGUUUCAAAUGGUUUGAGUGGUAAUAAGAAAAAAGGACACAAACCUGGAAAAUUUCAUAUUCAUCACCCACAAGACAUUCUCUCUGGAUCUUGUAUGAGAUGUGGUAAAGCAAAAGCCUCACACGAGCCUCAUCAAUGCCUUGCCAAGGGUCAGAAGUGUAGCAAGUGCGGAACUGUUGGACAUUUAGGUUUCAUUUGCAUGAAAUCUAGACAAAAACGAAAGCCCGAAGUGCUUGCCCGCUCUGCAUCUGAACCCGAAACAAUUACUUCAUCUUCAGUGUUGGUCCGGUCUACCGCCAUUGGCUCAAACCAAACUCCUCGUGCCCUUGUGGAAGUCCAUCCUACAGAGGAUUCUAAUCAAACUGGCUGAAUAUACCUUUAAAGUCGACUGGGUGCCUGGCAAGACACACCAAAUCGCGGAUGCACUCUCACGGUCCCCCGUCUUUGAUCCGGGCUCUUCUGAUGUCCCAGAUGAGUCAUUCAGAGUAUCUGCGGUCACAAUUUCAUAUGACAGAGCAUUAGACAACCUGAUUCAAGUUGCCAAAGAUGAUCCAGGCUACCAAUCUCUCAGAAUGGCAAACACUACAUGGUUAUUGUGGACCGUUACUCCGGCUGGCCUUCUGUUUCAAAAUUGAACCGCCUGGAUACAAAUGGUGUUACAACUAUCUUAUUCGAAUGGUUCAUCCAGUGGGGUAUCCCCUCCCGCAUUCGCACUGACGGUGGCCCUCAAUUCUGGACAGAAUUUUCAACAUUUUGCGAUAAGUACAAGAUCACUCAUGAGCUCAGUUCACCGUACAACUCAAGAUCAAAUGGACAUGCCGAAGCUGCAGUUAAGGCCAUGAAGCUGCUUCUCGAUAAACAUGACCAAAAAUGGCCUGACUUCCUCCUGGCACUUCUGCAUUGGAGAAAUACUCCACGUUCUGACGGAUUGAGCCCAGCUCAAUGGGUUUUUAACCGCUGCCAACGUACUCUCUGUCCCUCCUUAUGAUCGCUUGCCUGACCUUGAUCUUGAUCAUGUCGAAAUAGCCCGUCGCGAUAAUGAAUCCAAAUCAAAAGAAUUGCGUGAUAUGUCAACCCAUCCUCUUCCUCCCCUCGCCGUUGGAACAGAUAUUCGUAUUCAAGACCUGCGAUCAAAGAAAUGAACAAGGAUUGGAUCAAUUAAGUCCGUGAAGAACAAUGGAAGAUCUUAUGAAGUUUUUGUUGAUGGCAGGACUAUUUUUAGGAACAGAAAAUUUGUACGUCCCAUAUUUCCUCAAACCAUUCCCAAUCCUCAUCAAAUGAGGGUACCUGACCAUCCAAAUGAGAAAACACAACCUCCAAUUCGACGAAGCUCUAGAGCAAAACAACAACCUUCAAGGUUCAUACCAUGAAUUUUCAGCUUGGGGGAAGGUGUUGGGAUAUCAAAUCUAUUAAGCGUGUAUUUCUCUUUAUCUAUCCUCGUAUCUCCACUUACAAUUUUUCCCUGCCGAGCAGGUUCUACCAACUACCUCACAAGAACUACUGCUGGGAAACUCGUUUUUUCCUGACUCGAUCUAAGAUGUCUCCCUUCUCACUCGUUAAUACAGUUCACCGUUUCAA